CCUACGGGGGGCUGCAGUGGGGAAUAUUGCACAAUGGGCGCAAGCCUGAUGCAGCCAUGCCGCGUGUGUGAAGAAGGCCUUCGGGUUGUAAAGCACUUUCAGCGGGGAGGAAGGCGGUGAGGUUAAUAACCUCAUCGAUUGAAGUUACCCGCAGAAGAAGCACCGGCUAACUCCGUGCCAGCAGCCGCGGUAAUACGGAGGGUGCAAGCGUUAAUCGGAAUUACUGGGCGUAAAGCGCACGCAGGCGGUCUGUCAAGUCGGAUGUGAAAUCCCCGGGCUCAACCUGGGAACUGCAUUCGAAACUGGCAGGCUAGAGUCUUGUAGAGGGGGGUAGAAUUCCAGGUGUAGCGGUGAAAUGCGUAGAGAUCUGGAGGAAUACCGGUGGCGAAGGCGGCCCCCUGGACAAAGACUGACGCUCAGGUGCGAAAGCGUGGGGAGCAAACAGGAUUAGAUACCCGAGUAGUC
rnacentral:rRNA from 1 species